GCACUGCUGAGGAGUCCCACACUACGACGAAACGACCGUCCAGUGC
rfam:Schistosoma mansoni strain Puerto Rico chromosome 2, complete genome